rfam:Planktothricoides sp. SR001 contig_89, whole genome shotgun sequence.
GUUGCAACUAUAUAGAAUCCCUAUCAGGGAUUGAAAC